rnacentral:rRNA from 1 species
CCUACGGGAGGCAGCAGUGAGGAAUAUUGGUCAAUGGGCGGGAGCCUGAACCAGCCAAGCCGCGUGAGGGAAGAAGGUACAGCGUAUCGUAAACCUCUUUUGUCAGGGAACAAAGGCGGGGACUAGUCCCCGGAUGAGGGUACCUGAAGAAAAAGCAUCGGCUAACUCCGUGCCAGCAGCCGCGGUAAGACGGAGGAUGCGAGCGUUAUCCGGAUUUAUUGGGUUUAAAGGGUGCGCAGGCGGCCUGUUAAGUCAGCGGUAAAAGCCCGGGGCUCAACCCCGGCGAGCCGUUGAAACUGGCGGGCUGGAGUUGGAGAGAAGUACGCGGAAUGCGCGGUGUAGCGGUGAAAUGCUUAGAUAUCGCGCAGAACCCCGAUUGCGAAGGCAGCGUACCGGCUCCACACUGACGCUGAGGCACGAAAGCGUGGGUAGCGAACAGGAUUAGAUACCCCUGUAGUC